AAUGGGCGAAAGCCUGACCCAGCAACGCCGCGUGAGGGAAGAAGGUUUUCGGAUUGUAAACCUCUGUCGCAGAUGACGAAGGAAGUGACGGUAAUCUGUGAGGAAGCCCCGGCUAACUACGUGCCAGCAGCCGCGGUAAUACGUAGGGGGCGAGCGUUGUCCGGAAUUACUGGGCGUAAAGGGAGCGUAGGCGGUCGAUUAAGUUGGAUGUGAAAUACCCGGGCUUAACUUGGGAAGUGCAUCCAAUACUGGUUGACUAGAGUACAGGAGAGGAGAGCGGAAUUCCUAGUGUAGCGGUGAAAUGCAUAGAUAUUAGGAGGAACAUCGGUGGCGAAGGCGGCUUUCUGGACUGACACUGACGCUGAGGCUCGAAAGCGUGGGGAGCAAA
rnacentral:rRNA from 1 species